rnacentral:rRNA from 1 species
UACGUAGGUGGCAAGCGUUAUCCGGAAUUAUUGGGCGUAAAGCGCGCGCAGGUGGUUUCUUAAGUCUGAUGUGAAAGCCCACGGCUCAACCGUGGAGGGUCAUUGGAAACUGGGAGACUUGAGUGCAGAAGAGGAAAGUGGAAUUCCAUGUGUAGCGGUGAAAUGCGUAGAGAUAUGGAGGAACACCAGUGGCGAAGGCGACUUUCUGGUCUGUAACUGACACUGAGGCGCGAAAGCGUGGGGAGCAACAGG